rnacentral:tRNA from 1 species
AAGCAAGAAGCGAUAAAUCGCAACCAGUUUCGACCUGGUUAUAUAAGUAGUAAUUCCUACUCUUACUUA